GGCAGCUUUCAGAGAAAUGCCAGGUAACUGCAGCAAGUUCUGAGGUGAGCGGCAGUGGCAGCAGGCAAGCCACAGAGGAAGAAUUAUGGCAGGCCAAGGAAGCUUCUCAGAACCUGAGGUUAUGGCAGGCCUACCCAUGAGGCAAGGUGAGGCAACCAGCUCAGGCAGAAGGAUUCACAAGGAUAGCAGGGCCUUUGGCCUCCAGGGAAUCCAUCACCCACUGCUGUUGCCACUGAAAGCUGCUCUUUGAAAGCCAUUUCCUCUUUGACAGCCCUCCUACCCCAUGUCACCUCUGUGGUGGCCCCUUGGCGAGUAGGAGAUGCUGAUGGUCUCCUCCCACCCCUAGGGAGGAAAUGGCAGGAGCUGCCCUCUGGGGUCUCCUGGGCUUGGCACCCACCCAGAGUAAUUUAGAGCAGGCUAUUUUUCUGGCUUCCGUCACAGUGUCCCAUUCUGCCAGAAGCAGUUUAGUCCUGCUGGUCAUAUGACCCGGAAGCUGUCUGUGGACAAAUGCCGCCUCCCUCAGCCAGAAGCAAGAUGAGUGCCACAACCCCAUAGUCACCUUUGACUGGACUUAACCAUCCAGGGAUCCUUUACCUUUUACCUUACUUUCCUUCCCACAAUGGCCUUCAAUUCCCACUUCAACCAUCUUGAAUCUUGAUUUUAUUUCCCCCCCUUGUUCCCAAUGUAGAUCUGCCCACUGGUGGAGGAAGAGGAGUGCGGGGGGAGCGCACCGCCUCUGGCAGUGCGAUCCCGGUGGGGUGCCAUCAUGGCUGCACCCCUGCCCACGCUGGGUGCCAUGCCCCCACAGGUGUCACGCCAUGCUCCGAGGAUGCGCGACAUGCCCCCAGGACGCAUGCCACGCCACACUCACGCCUGCUCUCCACCCCCUGGUGCCAGAGUGUGAAGCUCCGCCACUGGAUCUGCCUUCCACUUUUUUUCUGGGUGGCGGGAAUCACUUUGUGGCUUGCCCCAGGUGCCAAAAUACCUUGGGCAAGCCCUGCCUGAACUGUUGCAUAAUUGCUAUUGCUAUCUAUUGGGUUUAACACAUUUUAUGUUACACGGCGCGUUCUAACCAAUCGUAUAAGCGUUGGUAGACGAACAUUCUAAUGGCAAGUAAGUGCAUGCACUUUCAACUGUCAACAACGGUCAGUUAAUACUCGGCUUUAUUAUUGUGUUGUCCAGUCAGUUCGGUUCUUGUUUUCCUAUGAGUGAGCUGUUGUCACUCCCAAUUGUUGAAUAAGCGUAUUUGAGGAACUUAUACUGCCUUGGGCUUCUGACUUUUUCCGAACAUUUAUCAUUGGCAACAAAGGUGGGAUUGAUGAGCUCCCGCAGGCUGCCAGAGGCCCAAGAACGCACCACAGCACUGCCACCUGCCGCCUCGCACUAAGCGCGACCUCACCGCCACGCUGGACUCAGCAAAUAGUCCCGGAAAAGAGACCGCACCUGCCACGUCUUCACAACCACCCACAAUCGCACAAGCGACUGCUCCAGGUCUGAGGAUGGCCACCAGUCAUAGUCAGCCGCCACCGGACUUCGAUUAAUUAUUUUUAUUAUUAUUAAUUAUUUAUUUAUUUAUUUAUUUAUACCCCGC
rnacentral:lncRNA from 1 species